AGGCUGUUGAGAUGGCUCAGAUAGCUCAGCAGGUAAAGGUACUUGCUGUUUGUGCCUAGUAAUAUGAAUCUGCCCCACACUCAUACAUACGGAAAGAGGGAACUGAAUUUAUAAAGUACACACACAUAAUAAAAAUUUAAAAACUAAAAAACUGACAUAAUGAGACAAUAUCUUAAGAUAUUCAUCAAUCUAGAUGAAUAUUCAGAAUAUAUAUGAACUAGAAAAAAUCAGCCCUUUAAGAACCAAUUCUUAAAAAUGAGCUAGUGAACUAGAUUGCUUUUGAAGACAUAUAAAUUGAUUCUAUAAAUAUAUGAAAAUGCAAAAUCUUACCAAUUGUGAAACCAUUAGGAAAUAUGGGUGCUAAGGAAAUGCAAAUCAAAUCCGUAAUGAGAUAUUUCAUCACAGCGUAGUUGUCAGUGUAAAGAAAAUAGACCUAGGGAGAUGCUCAGUAGGAAAAGCACUUGCUGCAUGAACAUGAGGUCCUGACAUGAGAUCAUCAGCACCCAUGUAAGAAGCUACAUAAGGUGGUGGACCCCUGUAACCUCACUGCUGUGGAGGUAGAAAUGAGAGUUGGGAGGGGGAGCACUCAUUGGACAGUCAGUCUAGCUACUUGAUGAGCCCCAGGUCAACCUCUGACCUCCGCAAGCAUGCACACACACAAAGAAAAGACUUCUCUGCUAAGAUACAGAGAAAGAAAAUUCUUAAACACUGUAGAAAUGCAAAUUAGUGUAACAAUUAUGGAAGACAGUAUGGAGGUCCCUUUUAAAAACUAAAAGCUAUUGUAUUAUAUCAGUCUCCUGGAUAUAUCUAAAAGAUGGAAUUAUGGUGAAAACGUUAGUGCAUUUAAUUGUUAAUGUGUAUUUUUGUUAAUUUUUGAGAUUGUAUUUUAAUUAUGUUUCUUCCUCACCUUUCCUCCCUCCAAACUCUCCCACAUACCUCUCCUUGGUCUCCUUCAAAUUCAUGACCUCUUUUCUCCCAACAUUUGCAUGCAUGCAUCCAUAUAUACACACAUAUAUGCAUAUAUAUUUAUAUGUAGAUAUAUAUUCCUAAAUAUAACCUGCUGAGUUCACAUACUGUUAUUGUAUGUAUGUUUUUAUAAUGUUAUUGUAUGUUUGUUUGACAUUUAGGAAGCUGAUUGAUAUGUUCUUCUCUAAGAAAGACCCUUCAGUUUCCAGCCUCUCUCAGUUGCCUUUAGUUCUUUGUACAGGGCUGAGACCUUGGGGGCUUUUCCCUGUGCAGUUUGGAAUUUUCAUUGAUGUCCUUAUUUAGCUCACUUUUGGGCAGUCAUAUUGGGGAGACUUAACAGGUGUAGCUUCUGGUAGUAAGAGACACAAUAUCACAGCAAAGUCCCUGAUUUUCUGGCUCUUAUAAUCUUUUUGUCUCUUCUUUUGAAAUGUUCCCCGAGCCUUAGGUGUGGUAGUACUUUGAAGACAUACUCUUUGGUACUAGGCUGUACAACUUUGCAUAUUAGUUGGCUGAGUUUCCUUGAGUGGUCUCUGUUGCAAAGAGAAGAUCCCUUAGUGAAGAGUGAAGAUUACCCUUAUCUGUGGGUAUAAAGAUGAUUGUUUAUAGAGUGUUGUUAGGGAUUAUGCUGGUUUAGUAAAUUAUAAUUGUAGAUUCUCUUCUAGUGAUGAUAAUUUCACUACCCCUGGUUAGUUAGGUAGAUUUUCAGUACCUUCUUGCUAAGCCAUUUUCACAAUGUUAAUUCUACCGAUCUAUGAACAUAUCUUUCCAUUUUCUAGUUCUUUCUAUCUCUUUCUUGAGAAGUUUAACAUUUUCACUGUAGAGGUUCCAUCUUUGACUAGGAUUAUUUCUAGAUAUUUUGAGUCAAUUGUGAUUGGAAGUGUAUCCAUAGUCUCCUCCUCUGCAUUUUUGUUGGUGGUGUUUAGUAAAGCUAUUGAAUUGUGCAAGUUGAUUCUAUACUUGCCACAUUAUUAAAUUUGCUUAUUAUGUCUACAAGAAUUUUUGGGUAAUUUUUAGGCUCUCUAAUGUAUAGCAUCAUAUAAUUUGUGAAUUAGGCUAGUUUGGCUUCUUUUAUUAUUUGUGUCCCUUUAAUUUUCUUCUCUUAUCUUAUUGCUGUAGCUAGUAUUUCAAGCAGUGUUGAAAAGGAGGGAAUAGUGGCCACAUCUGUUUAGAAUCUGACUUCAGUUGGAUUGCUUCAAGUUUAUCUCUAUUUAGAAUGAUGUUGAGUAUGAGUUUCUUAUACUAUAGUUUUUAUUGUGUUGACAUAUGCUCCCUCUAGCCCUAUAUUCUCUAGGACUUUUCCAUGGAUUUUGUUAAAAGCUUUUCUGCAUCUCUUGAGAUGAUCUUGAGAAGAUUUUUGUCUUUAUUUAUGGUGGUUUAAAUUCACUGACUUGCAUAUGUUGAUCAACUUUUGCACUACAGGGAUAUAUUUUCAUGCUUAUUAAAGCAUAUUCACCAUAAACAAAACAGAGAAUUGCCUAGAUGCCUAUUGGCAUAUGUGUGGAUAAAGAAAUUGUAGCAUACAUUCACAAUAGAAUAUUCAGCCACAAAAGUAAAUAAAAUCCUAUUAUUUAC
rnacentral:lncRNA from 1 species